GAGGAUUUGGCUCAGUGGUAGUGCGCUUGCCUAGCAAGCACAAGGCCCUGGGUUCGAUCCCCAGCUUCC
rnacentral:tRNA from 1 species